rnacentral:rRNA from 1 species
GAUGAACGCUGGCGGCGUGCCUAAUACAUGCAAGUCGAGCGAACAGACGAGGAGCGUCCUCCUCUCACGUGAGCGACGGACGGGUGAUUCACACGUGGGUAACCUACCGAGAAGACUGGGGUAACGUCGGGUAACCUGAUCUAACACCCGAUAAGAUGUUGAACCGCAGGGUUCAUUAGGCAAAGAGGGUUUUGCUGGCCCUUUGACAGAUUUCGGAGUUGCAUUAGUUAGUGGGUAAGGUAACGGCUUACCAAGGCGACGAUGCGUAGCCGAUCUGAGAGGAUGAUCAGCCACACUGGAACUGAGACACGGCCCAGACUCCUACGGGAGGCAGCAGUAGGGAAUCUUGCGCAAUGGGCGAAAGCCUGACCGAGCCACGCCGCGUGAGUGAUGAAGGCCUUCGGAUUGUAAAAUGCUGUUGUUCGGAAAGAAAAAAUGCGUGCGUAACUAUGCAGGUCUUGACGGUACCGAAUGAAAAAGCACCGGCUAACUACGUG